rnacentral:rRNA from 1 species
GUUAAUACCCAUUAGGAAAGACAUCACUCGCAGAAGAAGCACCGGCUAACUCCGUGCCAGCAGCCGCGGUAAUACGGAGGGUGCGAGCGUUAAUCGGAAUUACUGGGCGUAAAGCGCGCGUAGGCGGUCUGAUAAGCCGGUUGUGAAAGCCCCGGGCUCAACCUGGGAACGGCAUCCGGAACUGUCAAGCUAGAGUGCAGGAGAGGAAGGUAGAAUUCCCGGUGUAGCGGUGAAAUGCGUAGAGAUCGGGAGGAAUACCAGUGGCGAAGGCGGCCUUCUGGACUGACACUGACGCUGAGGUGCGAAAGCGUGGGUAGCAAACAGGAUUAGAUACCCUGGUAGUCCACGCCGUAAACGAUGUCGACCAGCCGUUGGGUGCCUAGCGCACUUUGUGGCGAAGUUAACGCGAUAAGUCGACCGCCUGGGGAGUACGGCCGCAAGGUUAAAACUCAAAUGAAUUGACGGGGGCCCGCACAAGCGGUGGAGCAUGUGGUUUAAUUCGAUGCAACGCGAAGAACCUUACCUACUCUUGACAUCCUGCGAACUUUUCAGAGAUGACUUGGUGCCUUCGGGAACGCUGAGACAGGUGCUGCAUGGCUGUCGUCAGCUCGUGUUGUGAAAUGUUGGGUUAAGUCCCGCAACGAGCGCAACCCUUAUCCUUUGUUGCCAGCGGUCCGGCCGGGAACUCAAAGGAGACUGCCAGUGAUAAACUGGAGGAAGGUGGGGAUGACGUCAAGUCAUCAUGGCCCUUACGACCAGGGCUACACACGUGCUACAAUGGCGCAUACAAAGAGAAGCGACCUCGCGAGAGCAAGCGGACCUCAUAAAGUGCGUCGUAGUCCGGAUUGGAGUCUGCAACUCGACUCCAUGAAGUCGGAAUCGCUAGUAAUCGUGGAUCAGAAUGCCACGGUGAAUACGUUCCCGGGCCUUGUACACACCGCCCGUCACACCAUGGGAGUGGACUGCACCAGAAGUGGUUAGCCUAACUUCGGAGGGCGAUCACCACGGUGUGGUUCAUGACUGGGGUGAAGUCGUAACAAGGUAGCCGUAGGGGAACCUGCGGCUG